rnacentral:rRNA from 1 species
GACAGAGGGUGCAAACGUUGUUCGGAAUUACUGGGCGUAAAGCGCGUGUAGGCGGCAAGGUAUGUCGGAUGUGAAAUCCCGUGGCUCAACCAUGGAAGUGCACCCGAAACUACCUCGCUGGAGUCCCGGAGAGGAAGGUAGAAUGCUUGGUGUAGAGGUGAAAUUCGUAGAUAUCAAGCGGAAUACCGGUGGCGAAGGCGGCCUCUGGACGGUGACUGACG